rnacentral:rRNA from 1 species
GGACGAACGCUGGCGGCGUGCUUAACACAUGCAAGUCGAACGGGGUUUAGUUUUAAGUUUACUUUUAACUAAACCAAGUGGCGGACGGGUGAGUAACGCGUGGAUAACCUGCCCAUUAGCCUGGGAUAACGCCGGGAAACCGGUGCUAAUACCGGAUAAGUUCACCGGAUUGCAUAAUUCGGUGAAGAAAGGUGUAAACCGCUAUUGGAUGGGUCCGCGUCCCAUUAGCUUGUUGGUAGGGUAACGGCCUACCAAGGCGACGAUGGGUAGCCGGCCUGAGAGGGCGACCGGCCACACUGGAACUGAGACACGGUCCAGACUCCUACGGGAGGCAGCAGUGGGGAAUCUUCCGCAAUGGGCGCAAGCCUGACGGAGCAACGCCGCGUGAGUGACGAAGGUUUUCGGAUUGUAAAACUCUGUCCAGAGGGAAGAAACAAAUGACGGUACCUCUGGAGGAAGCCCCGGCUAACUACG